AUAUUUACCUGCCAGUGGAGAUACCAUGAUCAUGAAGGUCAUUUUCCUGGGGUGAGGCUUAUUCAUUGCACUCUGGAUGUGCUGACCCCUGCGAUUUCCCCAAAUGUGGGAACCUCAACUGCGUAAUUUGUGAUAGUGGGGGACUAUGUUCGCACUUUCCUCUU